CUGAGCGCGGCGGCGGGGCCCGCCCGCAGGGCCGGGAGCGCGUCAGGGGCCGGUGCCAGGAGCUCUCUGCCAGGGACUUGCGGCGGCCGAAGCUCCUGGGACACCCCACCCUGGUCUCCACCCCCCUUCACCCUCCGGCUCUAAAUACCUCGUUGCUACAAACAGCCAUUGCCCGCCGAUGCGCGCGCCGAUUUCCUCCCCCUCCCCCCCACCUUUUUUUUAAAAUUAUUAUUAUUUUUUUUAAUAACCAUGAAGCUGUUUUUCAGCAUAAAGAUGGUUGAUUGCGCCGUGGGUGCUGCUCAGUAACCAGCCACCUCUCGCCGCUGCCCAGGCGGCCCUGAGCCGACUUUAGAAAGAGACAUACACACAGUGAAAAAAGAAAAAAAAAAAGAAAAAAAAAAAAAAAAAGAGGAAAGAAAAGAGGGGAAACAAAGCAAAAGUGGCCGUAAUAGUCUCACCCCAGCCCUUGGCUGCAGGCAAAAAAUCCCUUUCAUGAACAAGGAAGGAGGCAACAAUGUUUUUACAGUCCUGAGAAGUGCCUGUUACUAGAAAUGAUUUUCACUUUGUUCCUGAAAAGUAUGCCAAGUUUACUGGUGUUUACUGGUGAUGUUACAAAUAGAAGCAGGACUGGCAGGAGGGAGCAUGAGCUUUACAGUGGAGCAUGUGACAGCAGGGACCUGCUCCAGGUAAAUGGAGGACAUGCAGCAGGGCCUCUGCCAGGCCAGUAAAAAGCUUGAGUUCAUGAAGGGUGCAAAUUUCACUGUGCUUUCUUUUCCUUCCAGCAUCAGUCCUCUACUUUCAGGCACACUGGUCUAGAAUGUGCUGCUUACAUUUCUCAGGAGCUUUUACAAUUUUUUCAGAACAUAAUCUCUAACAUAAGUCCAUAGCAAAAUCUUAAUUGUCAAUGGGGGCUUUGUUCUGGGAGGCUAUUUUUGAAAAUGCCAGGUUAUCAGCUAGCCAUUGCAUAAAAGGCUGAAACAGGAAUUUGUUCAUAUGCCUUUGCUUCAGCAUAUUUAUUCCUUCAACUUCUCCCCCUACUUUCUCCAAGAAACACAUAGAGCUCUUCAAGUCCUUCUGGCAGGUGGGCUAUAUAAUGUUAUGGUGGCAAACCUGGAAAGCUUUACCAGUUCAUACCACCCAAUAAUGUGGUUCAUUGCAUGUAUUUUUAUUAGAUCCAAAUUUCCCAGUUUCUUUAAGGGCAUUUCAAUUUUUCAGUGGCUUUUUUUCUUUCCCUACCCAUCAGGGAGUGAAAUCAUGAGUCCAAAGAAUGUAAAUAACAGCUGUUUCUACUCAAUUUGCAUUCAUAUGCUUAGUACUUAAAAAUAGCUUAUUUCUAGAGGCUUUCACAAUCUAUUCAAAAUUUCUUCUUAGUCAGAGGUACUUGUGAGAUGUUAUUGAAAUCCCUUUGGACUGGCUGAUCAAAACAGCAUUUGAAAUUCUUCAAAUGACUGAUCAGUUCUGUAGCUUCUGAGCUACACUUCAGCAAUUGACUGAAGUGUAUCUUUUAAUCUCCUUGGACAUUUUAAGAUCAGUUCCUUGGGCUGCUCUACCUGCUCUAAGGGGGCAAAAUAUGCCAGAUGAGGAGAUGAAUGGUUAAAAAAAAAUCUAUGCUAAACUGGUCGUGUAUUUCUAGCAAAAUUAAUUUAUUAUACAAGUGCAGCUGAACAGGGAAAAAAAACCAAACAAAAGCAACACCUGGCAAGGUAUUUAAAGGGGACAGCUUAUUUGCCAGUGUUACAGAUCUUUGAAUAAACAAAACCCUUAUGCCCUGGGAAGAACUGAAAAACAGCCCUUUGGUUUUGAGACUACUGUUUUCUUUUGUUGACGUUUCAUGAACCCUAAAUAGGAUACACAUUUGUAUUCAUUAAUGCCUAAAGGAAGAUUUUAAGAAUUAUGUCCAAUUACUGAAGGGUUUUUUCCUCCAAAAAACUUUGGAAGCAUUUCACCUCAUUAUUUUGACAAGUGUCUCAACUUGAACCAUUUCUUCAGAUUUCUUUGAUCCUCUGAAGACUGAAAAUUACAGAACAAUAACAUUUAGUGACCUUUGGUAUGGUUCAUUUAUUCUAACAUUGACUGUGUAAGAAGAUGCUUGCUCCUAAAUGCAGAUUUUGUCUGAUAUUACAGAAAUGCACUUUCUUUUCUGCGUAUUUGUUUAUUCAGAAGAAAAAUCCUUUUAUUUUUACAGGAGUCUCAACUGGGGCAUCCCUGAAUGGGAGAUGCUGGACUGGUGACUGAAAUUGUUUAGAAAAAACUAUAUGUGUGAGUAUGUAUAAGCCUGUACCAGACUCAUUUAGACUUGGUACUCUGAGCAGACGAAGCUAAUCUAAGAUCAGGUAAUCUCUAAAAAUGCUGGGAGUUCAUACUACCUGAUUUCAGAGAGCAACUUUGUAUUUCUUAAUUAAAAAGAAUGUCACUGAUGUCAAGAAGGACUUAUACUGGGAACUUAAGAGGAAUAUAUAUGGCUUAUAUUCAUACUAGAUCCCUUCAGAGCAGACUCGCAUACUCACAGCCCACAGUGCUCCUUGGACUCCUUCUGGUACCCCUCUAGAGCCAACAUGCAAUUCUGAUUUUUAUGUGUUAUCUUCCAGUUUGAAGUUUGUGAAAUGGUGUGAACCUGACCGCAGCCUGUGAGAAGGGUGCUUUCCCAGCAUCAGCCAGGUACGCGUUGCCCGUUCUGGGAUGCGGUAAGCUGAGGGCGCAGCCAGCUUGGCUGGUUUAGAGCAUGUCCUGUGAAGCCAAGCAAGAUGUGACCUUGGGAGUGCUGCUUGGUGCUGUCCCUGCAGCAGUGGGAAGCCAUUGCUUUCAGGAGGGCUUGUGGAGGUGUGGGAGCAGCAGCAGGGGCCGGAGCUUUGCUCCCAGACUGCCACAGUAACAACGUGCCCAGAGGGAUCCUGAACAUCUCUGCUGCCGACGCCACCUCGGUGUGGUGAAGCCCAGGGUCCUGGUUUCACCUGCCAGAGUUACACAGGUAUUUUCACUGUAGAAUAAAUGCAGCACUGGUAAAGAAACACAAGGCUUUUCCUGCAUGAUUUCCACAAAGUCGUAAGUUACAAUCUUGGUCGUAUUGAAACAAAACACUCACCCAGUUCUAACAAUUCAAGCUUUUGUCUCUGGACUGGACAGGGCCUGGCUAGGCACUGUGAAGGUACUAACCUCUGCUGCUCUUCUCGUCACAGCUCAUGGUGUCACCUUUCAGCCUUACCAGUGGCCUCUCUGGGUUCACUUCAGAUCUUUCUCAAACAAAUAUGGCCAUAUAAAGCCAGUGAAUUGUAAACCCAUGCAGCCAAAACUACAGCAUGUUUCUUUCAGCAUUUUAAUACAAAUAUAUGCUCUAGAAAGGCAAUUUCUCUGCCAUUUUUCUGACCUCCACUUAUGAUGAAUUUUCCAUUAAUUUUAUUUGCUCUGCGCUUCUACUCUGUAUAGGAAAUCCUUUUUUCUUAAUCUAGUUCUAAAUUUUGUGGAACUUGCUACCACUCUGUUACUCCAUCACUAAGACCAGGGUUUUACCUGUAGGAAAAAUGGCAUGGGGGAAAGGGAAUUCUGUAAACAUCUAUUAUUGAAAAAUUACAAAUGAACCUAUACUGAAACUAUCAGUUUUAAAAAUUACAAAAUAAAUUUUAAAAAGUAUAUGAAGCCUUAUGUUACUUAUAACAACCGAACAAAUGUUAACUAAUUAAGGGUCAAGGAGAUCUUAUUCCUAGCAUUUGUUUAUUAUUCAAGUUUGUGCAAUAAUUCAAGUUUGUUAGUGCAAUAACUUUUCACUGUUCUUUUAAUUUUUCUCUGUAACUUUCAUGGUCAAAAUUUUAUUAGUUUUAGCAGAAGAGAUGCUAAAAAACAGUUCUUUCAGAAUUUUUUUUUAUCAUCUCACAUUUUGCUGGUAGGGGGAUCCUUUUGCUGAGUAAUUAAACUUUGGUAGCAGUCAAAACUGGUACUAUUUAAAAGGUAAAUUGCCUCUGACCUGACACUGUUUUUCAUUUUGACAAUUAGUAAAGCUGAAUAUAAGCACAACUUUUUUCUGUAUUUAUGUUUGAUAAAGUUGGCAAAGCUUCUUAGUUCUAUUGGCUGUGCCAACAUCUUGUGUUGUCUCUACACAACGAGAAACUUUGUGAUGCAUACACCUACAUCAUGACCUUUAAUAAAGUGGCAUGCAGGAUCAUAAACUUCUACUCCUCCAGAAGCCAUAAGAUGCAAAAUUGCUGACCAAACAUGCUAUUAGUUCAUGCAGCUUCCACAUACCUCCCACUGUCUGAUCUGCAGUGUUCCAACAGCUGUAGUUAUACACAGUAGAACUAACAUUUUGUAUCAAUUGUAUUUAAAGUUCCAGAUAAUUCCAUGCCCAGUAAAUCAUAAUUUAUUAUGUUUGUUUUUGUAGAAGUACCUAAAGGUAACAGUUGAACUAUUAGCCUCAUUUUAUAAGAGGUGCCAGAAAGAUAUAUAAAUUUCUUACGUAUCUUAUUUCUCCAAACAGCUUCUUAUUUUUAGCAUUGCAGGAUUGAUUAAAUACAAAUUGAGAUUAAAAUCUUAUACACAGCAUACAUUUACAAAUUAAAUGUGUAUGAAUUACUGUAUAUAGAAAAGUAAGAGCUCCUAUAUACACACUACAUACUAUUGAAGGCUAACAGAAACACCAAAAAUGGUUUUAUCUGAAUUUUAACAGUAUUUUGCAUAAUUGCGUUCCUAAAUUUUAAAAAAUAGUAAUAAAAAAAGAGAAAGGCCCCUACAUAUAUUAGAAAAUCUCAUCUUCAUCUUUCCUUCACAGAAAAGGAAAACGCAUCUCCAGAGAACAAUUUUGUGAACAAUAAAAUGUUAAAAUAAGAUCAACUGCCUUGUGCUGACUGACCAUAAGGGAGGCCUGUGAAGAUUAAUUCAGGUUUAAAUGCCUAAUUAGUAUAUGUCUCAAUCUUGGAGAUAAUCCCAAAUUUUAUUUAUCAUAUGUACACAAUUUGUUCCUUUAUACUGGUGACUAGUGGGUUUGCUCUAGAUCAAUUUUGUUAUAUUGUAGCAUUAAAAUAAAAUACACAUCAUCUAUUAGGGAUGAGGAA